rnacentral:rRNA from 1 species
AGUGAACGCUGGCGGUAGGCCUAACACAUGCAAGUCGAACGGCAGCACAGUAAGAGCUUGCUCUUACGGGUGGCGAGUGGCGGACGGGUGAGGAAUACAUCGGAAUCUACUUUUUCGUGGGGGAUAACGUAGGGAAACUUACGCUAAUACCGCAUAUGACCUACGGGUGAAAGCAGGGGAUAUUCGGAGCUUGCGCGAUUGAAUGAGCCGAUGUCGGAUUAGCUAGUUGGCGGGGUAAAGGCCCACCAAGGCGACGAUGCGUAGCCGGUCUGAGAGGAUGAUCCGCCACACUGGAACUGAGACACGGUCCAGACUCCUACGGGAGGGAGCAGUAGGGAAUCUUUGGCAAUGGGCGAAAGCCUGACGGAGCAACGCCGCGUGGGGGAAGAAGGUCUUCGGGUUUUAAAACCCUUUUUUUAGGGAAGAAAAAACGGGUGAGUAACUCCGCGCGUUUUGAAGGUACCCAAUAAGAAAGCCACGGCUAACUACGUG